rnacentral:tRNA from 1 species
UCCUUGGUGGCUCAGACGGUAGAAGCAUCUGCCUAUAGUGCAGGAGACUUAGGUUCGAUCCCUGGUCAGGAAG